CCGAAUAAAUCUUAUAAAAAUUCCUGUCGAACGGGGAUCCCACUUUUUUCGCCCAAGAUGAGGGCGCGACGGGUGUAAAUACACACUAGGUAACUCCCCCUUUUGGAGGGGUGAAUAACACCUCCGGGAAACAGCGGUGUGCUUAAUCACUCCGCAGUAAGGCUAGCUGGCCACCCUGCAGGGGUGCACAGAUUGUAAAAGCGGGGUGUAUCGAAACGCACCUCGCGUUCUUAAAGAGGCAGCCGUGCUGAGGGUAUUAUUUUGAUUGGAACGGGCUAACUGGCUUUACCAAGGCGACUACCCGAUCCCGGCCGUGAUAGGGCGGCCGGCCACACUUGACACAUGACCCUCGGCUCAUACCUCCAUACGGGAGGCAGCAAUCCUGAAUUUUGGGCAAAAGGCCACAAGCCAUGACCCACAACGCGUGAGAAGGAUUAAACCCCCCGAGAUGUAUUCUUUGCAAGAACAAGAAGAAUUUUUUGUGAAAACACCCCAUAGGAUGCCCCUACCUUUGUAACCCUCCGUAAAACUCCGCGCCAGGCAGCGGAAAAUAAUACAGGGGGGAAAAAGCUUUUCUUCAAAUUUCGGCGAAAAAAAGGGCNGCAGAAGGCUNCCCC
rnacentral:rRNA from 1 species